rnacentral:misc_RNA from 1 species
GGAAGGAUCAUUCAUAAAGGAGACUUACUCUUGUAGUAUGUCACCGAAAUUAAAUAUCCAUCUAACCCUCUGUGCACUGUAAACUGAAAUACUUUGGCUUGUUUUGGCUUUUUACGAAGCCAACUCUGACUUGAAUUGAAUGAUUCUUGUGAGAGCGGCAGCCAAGGUUUUGUCUAACCAACCAUGAAAUCAUUGUCUGAAAAUUUAAUAUAUUUUAAUAUAAAUUAAAUACAACUUUCAACAACGGAUCUCUUGGCUCUCGCAUCGAUGAAGAACGCAGCGAAAUGCGAUACGUAAUGUGAAUUGCAGAAUUCAGUGAAUCAUCAAAUCUUUGAACGCACAUUGCGCUCCCCGGUAGGCCGGAGAGCAUGCUUGUUUGAGUAUCAAAAGUGUAUUCCUCCAUCAGACCAACCCCCCCUUUUAGCACAGUUAACAUCGAAAUACUUUGAUGAAAAUGAAACUUAUAUAGGUGGGUCUGAAUCGGAAGAGAAUUGAGCUAUUACCCAACGUACCUCUCGCUAGGUAUGGAGGGAAGCUUGAAAUGCAGGUUUAGCGAGUUUUCAACUUGGCAAAAGCGUAACUUAAUUUCGUUUCCUCUGGAAAUGAAUUUCCUCGCCCAAGCCGUUCAAAGUUGUAAUUUGCUUACUAUGCAGGAACUACAAAGAGAACUUUGUUCUUUUUAACACCCGAUCUCAAAUCAAGUAGGACUACCCGCUGAACUUAAGCAUAUCAAUAAGCGGAGGAAAAGAAACUAACAAGGAUUCCCCUAGUAACGGCGAGUGAAGCGGGAUGAGCUCAAAUUUAAAAUCAGGCGGUUUUCCGUCAGAGUUGUAGUUUAAAGAGGCGUUUUCGGUGGCUACCUGGGCAUAAAUACCUUGGAACAGGUUAUCAUAGAGGGUGAGAAUCCCGUCUUUGGCUCAGAUUCAGCUACUAUGUGAUACGUCUUCAACGAGUCGAGUUGUUUGGGAAUGCAGCUCAAAAUGGGUGGUAAAUUUCAUCUAAAGCUAAAUAACGGCGAGAGACCGAUAGCGAACAAGUACCGUGAGGGAAAGAUGAAAAGAACUUUGAAAAGAGAGUUAAACAGUACGUGAAAUUGUUGAAAGGGAAACGUUUGAAACCAGUCAUGCUGGCAGGAAAUCAGCCGUCUCUGCAAUCUGGUCCCGGUGGAUGGAGCGCAAGCCCAUUGCUGUGGCCAAGGAGGUUGAGGUUGGUUCACUUUUCUGUAAGCAGGUCAGCAUCAGUUUGGGCCGCCGGAUAAAAGUUGGAGGAAUGUGGCUCCUUGUGAGUGUUAUAGCCUCCUUCCCAUACGGUGGGCUGGACUGAGGACUGCAGCUUGUGCCUUUAGGCAAGAGGGGUGCUCGUCGCUGGUGGAAGUCAAAUGGCAAACUACAUGUAGAUUGUUAGUUGAAUUCUUCAUCGGCGGGUGCUUACUACUUUCAAGCUUAGGAUGCUGACUUAAUGGUUUUAAACGACCCGUCUUGAAACACGGACCAAGGAGUCUAACAUAUAUGCGAGUGUUUGGGUGGCAAACCCAUGCGCGUAAUGAAAGUGAAUGUAGGUGCGAUCCGUAAGGAGCAGCAUCGACCGAUCUGGAUAUUUUUUGAUGGAUUUGAGUAAGAGCAUAUCUGUUGGGACCCGAAAGAUGGUGAACUAUGCCUGAAUAGGGUGAAGCCAGAGGAAACUCUGGUGGAGGCUCGUAGCGAUUCUGACGUGCAAAUCGAUCGUCAAAUUUGGGUAUAGGGGCGAAAGACUAAUCGAACCAUCUAGUAGCUGGUUCCUGC